rnacentral:other from 1 species
GCCGUGCUGCGGGGUGCGUUAGGAACAACGAAUCUCCAGGGCCUAUAAGAUCUGCCAGGGAGCUGUCCCUGACCGGGACCGUGGUCCCGGACAUACGGCGCCCACCUUACUUUUGUAGGGACCCGGCGAGAUCAAACAUGUUCCGACGGCCACCGCGGCACUGAA